rfam:Rhizophagus irregularis DAOM 181602 strain DAOM 197198 GLOINscaffold_9694_Cont9679 mitochondrial, whole genome shotgun sequence.
ACGGCUAUGUUGGAAUUGGCAGACAAGUGUGACUUAGGAUCACGUGGGUAAUACCGUGAGGGUUCAAAUCCCUCUAGCCGUA